CGCACGGGUGAGUAACACGUAUCCAACCUGCCGUCUACUCUUGGACAGCCUUCUGAAAGGAAGAUUAAUACAAGAUGGCAUCAUGAGUCCGCAUGUUCACAUGAUUAAAGGUAUUCCGGUAGACGAUGGGGAUGCGUUCCAUUAGAUAGUAGGCGGGGUAACGGCCCACCUAGUCUUCGAUGGAUAGGGGUUCUGAGAGGAAGGUCCCCCACAUUGGAACUGAGACACGGACCAA
rnacentral:rRNA from 1 species